rnacentral:tRNA from 1 species
GCUCCGUACUUUAUUUAAAAGGUUUAGUCUGCAACUAAAAAUAAGACCACACGUCUCAGAGCACC